CCGUAGCCCAAGAGAUCGGGAUAACACCUGGAAACAGAUGCUAAUACCGGAUAACAACAGAUGAUGCCUAUCAACUGUUUAAAAGAUGGUUCUGCUGUCACUCUUGGAUGGACCUGCGGUGCAUUAGCUAGUUGGUAGGGUAACGGCCUACCAAGGCGAUGAUGCAUAGCCGAGUUGAGAGACUGAUCGGCCACAUUGGGACUGAGACACGGCCCAAACUCCUACGGGAGGCAGCAGA
rnacentral:rRNA from 1 species